rnacentral:rRNA from 1 species
CACGAACGCGGCGGCGUGCCUAAUACAUGCAAGUAGAACGCUGAAGGAGGAGCUUGCUCUUCUAGAUGAGUUGCGAACGGGUGAGUAACGCGUAGGAACCUGCCUGGUAGCGGGGGAUAACUAUUGGAAACGAUAGCUAAUACCGCAUAACAGUAGAUGUUGCAUGACAUUUGCUUAAAAGGUGCAAUUGCAUCACUACCAGAUGGACCUGCGUUGUAUUAGCUAGUUGGUGGGGUAACGGCUCACCAAGGCAACGAUACAUAGCCGACCUGAGAGGGUGAUCGGCCACACUGGGACUGAGACACGGCCCAGACUCCUACGGGAGGCAGCAGUAGGGAAUCUUCGGCAAUGGACGGAAGUCUGACCGAGCAACGCCGCGUGAGUGAAGAAGGUUUUCGGAUCGUAAAGCUCUGUUGUAAGAGAAGAACGAGUGUGAGAGUGGAAAGUUCACACUGUGACGGUAUCUUACCAGAAAGGGACGGCUAACUACGUGCCAGCAGCCGCGGUAAUACGUAGGUCCCGAGCGUUGUCCGGAUUUAUUGGGCGUAAAGCGAGCGCAGGCGGUUAGAUAAGUCUGAAGUUAAAGGCUGUGGCUUAACCAUAGUACGCUUUGGAAACUGUUUAACUUGAGUGCAAGAGGGGAGAGUGGAAUUCCAUGUGUAGCGGUGAAAUGCGUAGAUAUAUGGAGGAACACCGGUGGCGAAAGCGGCUCUCUGGCUUGUAACUGACGCUGAGGCUCGAAAGCGUGGGGAGCAAACAGG